rnacentral:rRNA from 1 species
GAGAGAGAGACAUGCGCGCAUAUCAAUAAGCGGAGGAAAAGAAACUAACAAGGAUUCCCUUAGUAACGGCGAGUGAAGCGGGAAGAGCUCAAAUUUGAAAUCUUCAAGGUUCUACCUUGACGAAUUGUAGUUUAAAGAAGUGUUUUCUGUUGAAGUUUUGGUAAAAGUUCUUUGGAAUAGGACAUCAUAGAGGGUGAGAAUCCCGUAUUUGACCAUUAUUUUCCAGCUUUGUGAUACACUUUCAAAGAGUCGGAUUGUUUGGGAAUGCAGUCCAAAAUGGGUGGUAAAUUUCAUCUAAAGCUAAAUAUUGGCGAGAGACCGAUAGCGAACAAGUACCGUGAGGGAAAGAUGAAAAGAACUUUGAAAAGAGAGUUAAACAGUACGUGAAAUUGUCAAAAGGGAAGCGUUUGACACCAGUGUUGUUUUCUCGAAAAUCAAUUAAAAAUGGCUCGAUUUUGUAUUGCUUGAGACCUUAAAAGCUCACUGUACAUUUUUCGUGUCUUUUUUAAUGCACUUUUCGUUUAACAAGUCAACAUCAGUUUCUUUUGUUGUAAAAGGGUCAUUGGAAGGUGGCUUUCUUUUCGGAGAAAGUGUUUAUAGCCUUUGGCCUCUGCAAUCGAAGAGACUGAGGUCUGCAGCGUAGACUCUUCGGGGUUAGAUACAUUUGUGCUAAGUUAUAGCUUUUUAUAGACAACUUGUUGACUAUAAUUAGUCUUGUAGCUUACUCGCUUAUGCUAUUUUACCUACGCUUAGGAUGUUGAGUCGUAGAGCACGCAG